CUUCAUGGAAUCGUUCUUCUUCCUUGCGGGAUUUCAGGCAAGAUGACUGCUACCCUGGAUCUCACUACUAUCAUUGCUAUGCUAGUUGCUUUGUUCUAUCGCUAUGCUGCGUUACCUAUCUGUUGCUCUUCAAGCCCCCCAAAAUGCCAUGAACCUCUAACCUUUGACACCCUUCCUAGCAAACCAUUGUUUGGCUAUGUUACCGCUUUGCUCAGCCCCUCUUAUAGCGUUGUUAGUUGCAGGUGAAGUUGAAGAUUUCUCCAUGGUGGACAGGAUUUUGGUUGGGAUAUCACAAUAUCUCUUAUAUUAUUAAUGCAUCUAUAUAUUUGGUAAAGGGUGGAAGGCUCGGCCUUAUGCCUGGUGUUUUGUUCCACUCUUGCCGCCCUAGUUUCCGUCAUACCGGUGUUAUGUUCCCAGAUUUUGCGUUCCUUACGCGGUCGGGUGAUUUAUGGGACCCCCUUGACAGUUCGCUUUGAAUAAAACUCCUCCAGCAAGGCCCAACAUUGGUUUUACCAUUUGCCUCACCACCACCUAUAUUUCCCUUGGGUGUAAUUAACCCAAGGGUCAUCUAUAUUACAACCCCCCCGGGCCAGUGCUUGUCUAAGUGUUGGUCCGAACUAGAGCCCUUUGCAGCGCCCCCUCAGGGAAAUUUGAGGUCUGGUUUUAGUUGUACGGAUUGCUCAUCCGGUGUUGCCCUGAGAAUGAGAUAUGUGCAGCUCCUAUCGGGAUUGUCGGCGCAUCGGGCGGCUUUGCUGGUCUUGUUUUACCAUUGUCAAAAUGUCUUAUAAACCGGGAUUCCGAGUCUGAUCGGGUCUUCCUGGGAGAAGGUCUAUUCCUUCGUUGAUCGCGAGAGCUUGUCAUGGGCUAAGUUGGGACACCCCUGCAGGGUAUAAUCUUUCGAAAGCCGUGCCUGCGGUUAUAGGCAGAUGGGAAUUUGUUAAUGUGCGGUUGUAGUUAACUUUGACACCAGAUCCGAAUUAAAACGCAUCAACCGCGUGUGUAGCCGUGAUGGUCUCUUCUCGGCGGAGUCCGGGAAGUGAACACGGUUUCUAGGUUAUGUUUGACGUAAGUAGGAGUUCAUGAUGACUUCUUGAUCAUUGCUAGUUUCACGACCGUUCCGCUUGCUCUCUUCUCGCUCUUGUUUGCGUAUGUUAGCCACAAUAUAUGCUUAGUCGAUGCUGCAGCCUCACCACUUUACCCCUUCCUUUCCCAUUUAAGCUUUGCUAGUCUUGAUACCCAUGGUAAUGGGAUUGCUGAGUCCUCGUGGCUCAUAGAUUACUACAACAACAGUUGCAGGUAUAGGUUAUGCGAUGAUCAUGAUGCGAGAGCGAUGCUUGCUUGCGUUGAGUUCUUCUUCUGCUUCUUCUUCGAUUAGGGGAUAGGUUCCAGGUCGGCAGCCUGGGCUAGCAGGGUGGAUGUCAUUUGAGUUUCUGUUUAUGUUUUCAUCCGUAGUCGGAUGAUGCUCUUAUGUAUUGUGAUGUUGUAUUCAUGUGGCAUUGUUUGCCUCUUGUAUGUAUCCCCAUCUAUUAUGUAAUGUUGAUGUAAUGAUAUCCACCUUGCAAAAGCGUUUCAAUAUGCGGGUCUAUCCUUGGUGGGACCUUCGAGUUCCUUUUGGAUAGGGUCGCAUAUUGGGCGUGACAUUUGAUGACGGUUUUGUAUUAUUUUAGUUAUGUGAUUUGGUGACCGAAUGUUGUUCGGAGUCCCGGAUGAGAUCACGGACAUGACGAGGAGUGUCUAAAUGGUCGAAAGGUAAAGAUUGAUAUAUAUAGGACAAUGGUAU
rnacentral:lncRNA from 1 species